UACGGAGGGUGCAAGCGUUAUCCGGAUUUACUGGGUUUAAAGGGUGCGUAGGCGGCCUGUUAAGUCAGUGGUGAAAGCCCACGGCUCAACCGUGGAAUUGCCAUUGAAACUGGCAGGCUCGAGUGCGGUCGAAGUGAGCGGAAUACAGCAUGUAGCGGUGAAAUGCUUAGAUAUGCUGUAGAACACCGAUUGCGAAGGCAGCUCACUAGGUCGCAACUGACGCUGAGGCACGAAAGCGUGGGGAGCGAACAGG
rnacentral:misc_RNA from 1 species